UAUUAAUAAAUUCAAAUGUGUCGCAGCGCACAAUUUAAACAGCCGUUGCUUUACUUUUCAUAACUCAACAAAAAUGCACCAGGUAUUCUUCUUCUUUUGGUUUCUUUCUAAACACAACAGAGAGAUGUAAGAAAGAGCACCGACCGAAGGUUGCUCUCUGAGAGCCGAGGGCAGCCAGAUUAUAAGACACAGAGGUAAGGGUAAUAUCCGAAGACCUGCCUCUCUUUUUUGCCGAAAUGCUUUCGUCGGAAGUCUUCUACGCUGCUCCGAAUUCUCUGCUGACAUCGACAGCAGCAUACAGUUUUUGGCAGAAAAAAAAAAGAGAACAGCUUUUUGCGCUCCAGCAUGUCCCGGCGACGGGAUUGCAGAAAUGAAGGGACCUAUGCUGUAGCUACUCCCGUUACUCGUAGAGUACAAGGGUAUACUAAAUUCGUCGGAAAGUAUGUAACAGCUAGAAGGGAGCGUUUCCGACCCCAUAAAGUAUAUAUAUUCUUCAUCAGGAUCAUUAACCGAGUCGACCUAGCCAUGUCCGUAUGUACGCUGAGAUCUCGGAAACUAUAAAGCUAGAAGAGACAUUCUUGGCAUGAAGAUUCCUGGACCUUCUGCGCACCGGAAGUGCGUGUGCAAGGAUGCUUUUAGAGAGACGUAAGAAAGAGCACCGACCGAAGGUUGCCCCCUGAGAGCCGAGGGCAGCCAGAUUACAAGACACAGAAAGAGAGGGUAAUAUCCGAAGACCUGCCUCUCUUUUUUGCGGAAAUGCUUUCGUCGGAAGUCUUCUACGCUGCUCCGAAUUCUCUGCUGACGUCGACUGCAGCAUACAGUUUUUGGCAGAAAAAAAAAAACAGAACAGCUUUUUGCGCUCCAGCAUGUCCCGGCGACGGGAUUGCAGAAAUGAAGGGACCUAUGCUGUAGCUACUCCCGUUACUCGUAGAGUACAAGGGUAUAGUAAAUUCGUCGGAAAGAUCAUUAACCGAGUCGACCUAGCCAUGUCCGUAUGUACGCUGAGAUCUCGGAAACUAUAAAGCUAGAAGAGACAGACUUGGCAUGAAGAUUCCUGGACCUUCUGCGCACCACAUGGCAGGGCGUCACGCCUACUCGAACGCCCACAAUUCCCGAAAGACUAUAGCACCUGCAUCUUUCAGACUACAAACAAUACUUCAACUGAUAUGUAGUGGUCUCAUCGGUACCUGAACUAUAUUAGCGUUAUCAAAAGCUUAAAAUUGAAUUUGAAAUCUUUAGAUCCGUUUUAGAGCAACCAGAAAAAGUGCUUAAAAAUCGUAAUAUAAAAACGUUUUGACAACGUUUGAAAGACGUAAAUAGUAAUUUGAAGGACAAAAUUUUAACUGAAAUAUAUUAGCCUAUUAGAAAUUAAUAUCUCUUACAUUACCUUCACUUUCUCUCUUUCAGCAAUAGAUACAAAUCUAUUGCGACAACAGAUAAAAAUCUAUUUGAAAUCCUAUCUUGGUGUGCAAGGAUGUUUUUAGGUAAGCGAG